rnacentral:ribozyme from 12 species
GUGAUUUACUAUUUUUGUUUUUGUUUUUGUUUUAAAUCAUUUGUUAAAGAAAAAAAGUGUACACGUACACGCUUUAUUUCCACACAUA